GCCGGAGUGGCGAAACGGCAGACGCAGGGGACUUAAAAUCCCCGGCCCGAAAGGGCGUGAGGGUUCGAAUCCCUCCUCCGGCA
rnacentral:tRNA from 1 species